rnacentral:rRNA from 1 species
UACAGAGGUCCCAAGCGUUGUUCGGAUUCACUGGGCGUAAAGGGUGCGUAGGCGGUCGGGUAAGUCUGAUGUGAAAUCUCACAGCUUAACUGUGAAACUGCAUUGGAUACUAUUCGGCUUGAGAGUUGGAGGGGGGACUGGAAUUCUUGGUGUAGCAGUGAAAUGCGUAGAUAUCGGGAAGAACACCAAUGGCGAAGGCGCCUUUCUGGUCCGUUGCUGACGCUGAGGCGCGAAAGCCAGGGGAGCGAACGGG